GUGCACACUGAGGAGAGGUGGAGGAGGGUUGUGUUGUGCACGUUUUAAUUUAAAUAUAUCAUUAGUAACAGUAUAACUGCUGGAUGGCAGAAAGAGUCUGAAAACUACUAAAACUAUGUGAGGACAGAACAGAGAGAGAGGUUGUGACUGAACUAAGACUGAGGACUCUGCAGGACUCUGUCUGUCAGAAGAUCAGAAGAUCAAGAUGGGGGACAUUCAGGACAAAACCUCCACUGAGAACCAACAGAACCAGAUUCAUCACCAUCAGGCUUUACUCUUUGGGACUUCUUCAGAUGCAUCUGAACUGUGAGAUACUGCCAUGAGAAGAAGAAGGACAAGGAGGACAAGGAGAGGAGGUGUGGGACACUGAGGACAGACUGGAGACUGAUUCAGAGACAGCUGCUUGAGAGACCUCAACCUGCAGCCAAAGACAGGUUUCAUCAGACUGUGAGCAGCUGUGGUGGAAAGAGGCUUCACAAAGAGAACACCGUUAAAACUCAAUGGAUAAACCUCCAGACGUACCUGUGCAUCCAGCUCCAGGAUAUGAGACACCUUGUUCCAGCCGAAGCCCACGAAGCGCUGGUCGUACUCCGGACAGUCUCGUCUCACCACCACGUACGGCUCAAAGUCCGGCUCCCACUCCACCUUGUAAGGUACCUGAAGGUGUAGAGAGUCCCCAUGUCCAGCAUGGAGAGCAGCUCAGCUUUGGAUUUGGGGAAGGACAGACGGUAACGAAGCGUCUCGAACGCUGGAACCACCAGAGCCUUCUUAGUGUGAGCCAUGUCCAGCUGCACCACGGACCUCCUGCACGGAGGAAACACGACAGGUGAGACACAGACUGCAGACCGGAGCGCGCGGCUGGUCCUACCUGAGGUAAUCGUAGAGACCGUACAUCGGCAGGAAGUCCACGUCCGUCAGGAAGACAUAGGGCGUGUUGGCGUUCUUCAGGGCCACGUUCCUCACCAGGUUG